rnacentral:rRNA from 1 species
GUCCACGCUGUAAACGGUGAGUGCUGGGUGUGGGAGGUGUAAUGCCUUCUGUGCCGAAGCUAACGCGUUAAGCACUCCGCCUGGGGAGUACGGCCGCAAGGUUGAAACUCAAAGGAAUUGACGGGGGCCCGCACAAGCGGUGGAGCAUGUGGUUUAAUUCGACGCAACGCGAAAACCUUACCUGGGCUUUACAUGGAGAGAAGUCGGAUGAAAGUCUGACGUGCCUCGUAAGAGGAGCUCUCACACAGGUGCUGCAUGGCUGUCGU